CUCAAGGUGCGGCCAUCGUCUUCGGAGGCGUGCAAACGGCCUAUGGUAAAUACACCGCAUAUCUAUCACACGUUUAACCAUAUAUUUGUAGAACGAGAACUCCGAACACAUCUAAUAGAAAAAUAUGGAUCUGAACAUGUUGCGAUUUUACGGGGUCGGGGAACAAUCCCCGGCUCCGUAAAGAUUGAGGAAGAUGACUUCCAGGGAACGAGGUUCCAGGUCUUUAAAGACCUGGAACUCAAACACACCUAUUGGGUGUUCUAUAAUUAAUAAACCUGUUAAAUUUUGUUCUGUUUUUCUUAUCCGCCCCACUGCAUAGAUUAUGAUUGUAUCCGUGUUCUAAGCUCUUACCUAAAAUAGUAAGAUGUAGUGGUUAGGUAUUUAUCCAUAAUGCUAUACGGUGUUAUCCUUUCUCUCGUAAAAAGUCUUAAGGCGCCAGAAGCAUCUCUAUCCUAGUUUGGAAUUAAGAAGCUUGCCUUAUCACAGAUAUUAUCAGCACAUAAACUUAAAUCCAAGAAAAAUUGUCAAAAUCCUAGGAAAUUUGUAUACAAAUAAUUAGGAUAUUAUUUUAGGAAUAUUCUUAGACUAAAGGUUAUUAGCAAACUACCCCUGUAUAAAGCUAAAAAUAGAAAAUUCUUGUAUAAAUUUAAGAUUUCAUUGUUGCAGUACUAUUAAAAAGGAAGGCCUGUUAGUUAUUUUUUCAUACACCCUGUGUAGAGAAAUAACUAAUGGGGAAUCCUAUAACGAGGUCGUAAACAUCUCCAAUAAAUUGCAUUAUUUCUAGUGCGAAUUUAUUGCCUCCUGGGUGGUCAUGGAAAGAGGUGUAUCUAACCAAUAAUAAUUUAACCAAAGCUAUACAAGGUAGAUCGAUCUUUGAUUGCUAGAAUUAAUAACACAUCUGUUUUAAAUCGUACGCUUACACGUAUUAUGAAGGUACUGCUCAAGUGUAUCAAUUUGAUUUAAGAAGCGUGUCGUAUCACAGAUAUUAACAGUACAUAAAGUUAGCUUCCUUUCUCCCGUAAACAAGUCUUGAGGCACCUCCUCCCACCCAACGUCCAUCUCUAUCCUGUUCGGGAUUAAGAAGCCUGCCUUAGCACGGGUAUUAUCACCAUAUAAACUUAAAUCCAAGAAAAAUUAACAAAAUUUGUGAGAGUUUAUAUAACAGCACUAUUCUAACUAGAGUAAUAAAAAUUUAUAUCCUAGCACUUUGAUUGCAGGAAUUAAUAACACAUCUGUUUUAAAUCGUAUGCUUACACGUAUUAUGAAGGUGCUGCCCCAAGUGUAUCAAUUUGAUUUAAGAAGCUUGCCUUAUCACAGGUAUUAUCGGCACAUAAACUUUGAUUCAAGAAAAAUAUUGAUUUAGCCCCAUACGAAACUUUUCUUAAUAGCUGUAAUUGAUAUGAAGGUUAUAUGAUAAGCCUUUUCUUAAUAUAGAUAUAGCUAAAGUUGGUGUAAUACAUAAUAUUCACAAUGUUAUCUUAUUUAUCGCAACGGCAUUAUCCUCUACCUACUUCCCAUCAAUAAAUCUAAGAUAUUAUAGGUAUUAUAAUAAUAAAGCUACGGCGCUUGCGACCGUUUAACCAUGAUGAUGAUGAAGGCAAUCCUCCAUUGAGGUUUGAUAUCGGCUAAAAAAGAUAUCAAUGUAGGCUUUUUAUUACAAAAUAAUUUUGAUACUUACGGUCCAACUCUGAUGUAGACGAUUAUUUGCGAACAGCCAUAUAAAAUGAUCGCCGAAUAAAUACAAUAAAAAUGUCACGCUUUCAUUAAACUGCAAAUUAUGCGCGCAAGGACACGUAUCCCUAAGAAAAGUAAAUUAUAAGCAACUAAAAAUUGAAAAAAAAAGGCUUACCUGAGGUAUAUAUGAAGGCGCCUGUCUAAGUAGGUGUAUACACACAUGCACUUAUUGAAAUCGGAUUGCGGAUGCACGCCGUUUUUAAAUAUUGCGGAACGUCGAAUUUAUAAUUAGUACAGAACGUACUUCACCGUAAAGAUAUACACAUUUCCUAUUUCCAUCAUAUUUCCCACCUUUUUUAUGGGAGAUUUUCGAACUUUACGCAUUCAUACACAAUAAAACCCGUAUAUAGGUGUCGAUAUGGAAAUGAAAUGGGAUAAAGUACCAUAUCAAAUUCGCGAGCACGCGCUGCUAUAAAUAAACACUAUCGCAAGAUUGAAACUUCCCAUACCAAUUAUUAGAAUAAUGACAUCUGCGAACUCUGUUCUCUUUGAGGAUAGCUUCUACGUCUUACUAUAAAAAACCAGGGGGCUGCCUUAGACCCUAAGAGCUACUAUAUAAAACUAGGGGUAGUUCCUUGGGGAUAGGAUUAGGGGUUAGCUCCCCCACCCUACGAAAUAGCUCACAUCGGUAUCUACAGCUCCUGACGUUGAUGCUAUAAUUAAAUACUAUCGAAUUAUUGCGAGAUUGCAGCAUCCUCUCCCAUAACCGCGGUUAUUUUUUUCUCUAACUGAUAACACAUUUACAUUCGUGCUUAUUUAGCUGCAAAUGUCGAAUCAAGAAAUGUGCAAUCAUUUUUGCGAGGAGUCGAGGUAAACCUGCAUGUAUAUUACUAUACGUUUUAACCGUAUAUUUGUAGAACAAGAAACUACUAUUAUUUUCGGCGGGAUAAACCCAGCGAGGUAUAAAACCCCCCAUGUAUUACGUUUUAAUUAUAUACCUAUGUGUAGAACGGAGCGGGGAUUUCCAAUUAUGAAUAACAAUGUCGGCAUCCAAAAAAAUAGGGGCGUUGCCGUCGUCGGUCCUCUUCGACGCAAAUUUUAUAUCUAAAUAAAAACGCCCUACAUUUUGUUUUUGUUGUUUUAUUUCCCUACCCGCCCCUGUUCUGGUUGUAGGUUAGAAUGGGGCCCCCUUGUGUAUGUCUCUCAAAUGGGGGAGCUACCUCCGAGAUGGAAUGAUAGGUUAGAAUUCUCCUCCCUUGCAUCUCUCUCCUGAACCCUCGUAUCUAACCGUUUGAUGUCUCAUCAAUGCCGGGGCGCCGGUUGAAAUUAUACUUUCCUAUACCUAUACGAAUCCUAAUAGAUGGCGACUCCGUUCCGUUAAAAUAGGUUAGAAUGAGGGACCUCGCACUUGACGACUGAAAUUACAAUUUCCUACCUCUAUAUGCAUUACGACGCCAAUAGAUGGCGCCUCCGUACCCUUAAAAUAGGUUCGUUAUAAAUACAACUAUCCAAGCAUUAUAUCAUACAAGUCUAGUUAGCCUAGUGGUUAUGCUAUAGGACUUGUAAUCCGAUGGUUGGCGGUUCGAAUCCGUUCCAUUUAAAAAAAAAUUUCAGGAGGUUCGAUAUAAAUACAACUAUCCAAACAUUAUACCAUAAUAGUCUAAUUAGCUCAGUGGUUAUGCUAUAGGACUUGUAAUCCAAUGGUUGGCGGUUCGAAUCCGUUCCAUU